rnacentral:rRNA from 1 species
UUGUCUCAAAGAUUAAGCCAUGCAUGUCUCAGUACAAGCCACAUUAAGGUGAAACCGCGAAAGGCUCAUUAAAUCAGUUAUGGUUCCUUAGAUCGUACCCACAUUUACUUGGAUAACUGUGGUAAUUCUAGAGCUAAUACAUGCAAACAGAGUUCCGACCGGAGACGGGAGGAAUGCUUUUAUUAGAUCAAAACCAAUCGGCGUCGGGCGCGUUCGCGCGUCCGUUCGCCGCUCAACUUGGUGACUCUGAAUAACUUUCGGCUGAUCGCACGGUCUCGCACCGGCGACGCAUCUUUCAAAUGUCUGCCUUAUCAACUGUCGAUGGUAGGUUCUGCGCCUACCAUGGUCGUAACGGGUAACGGGGAAUCAGGGUUCGAUUCCGGAGAGGGAGCCUGAGAAACGGCUACCACAUCCAAGGAAGGCAGCAGGCGCGCAAAUUACCCACUCCCGGCACGGGGAGGUAGUGACGAAAAAUAACGAUACGGGACUCAUCCGAGGCCCCGUAAUCGGAAUGAGUACACUUUAAAUCCUUUAACGAGGAUCAAUUGGAGGGCAAGUCUGGUGCCAGCAGCCGCGGUAAUUCCAGCUCC